UACAGAGGGUGCGAGCGUUGUCCGGAAUCACUGGGCGUAAAGCGCACGUAGGCGGCUUUUUAAGUCAGGGGUGAAAUCCUGGAGCUCAACUCCAGAACUGCCUUUGAUACUGAGAAGCUUGAGUCCGGGAGAGGUGAGUGGAACUGCGAGUGUAGAGGUGAAAUUCGUAGAUAUUCGCAAGAACACCAGUGGCGAAGGCGGCUCACUGGCCCGGUACUGACGCUGAGGUGCGAAAGCGUGGGGAGCAAACAGG
rnacentral:rRNA from 1 species